rnacentral:lncRNA from 1 species
CACUUAAGAAUUUUAGUUCCACAGCUAAUGUUUGCAAUGGCCUUCCUAAAAGAAAAGACACUGCUAGUUCAUUGUUGCUGAAACUUGAACAUUCAUCUAAUGAAAUCGUCUAAAUAGCCUAUCCAUUCAGAUGUCUGAUUUGAAACUCCAAAGGGAGCUAAACCUGGAAGUCAGUGGUCAGAUGUAACAAUGGCAGCAUUCUAGCAUAUUAUCCACUAUGUAAGUGUACAUUGUUCAGCUUUGGUCAGUACACUCUCUUUAUGCUGUAAGUAUUGCAUACAUACAGGCAAUGCAUGAUUCAUUGGUAGAACACCUUAGAAGAGUGCAUUUAUUGUGGACAGGUGGGCCACCGAAGGUGUUGAUCAUGAUGUGUUUUUAGAUAGUUUCAGUAUGGAGGAAUGGUUAGGGAAGAGACAAACUUUGUUUAUGCAAGAUACACAAUAUUAGCCUGAUUUGCAUUUAAUAUGUGUUUGACAGGUUGUUAACUAGUCACUUCUUCAUUGAACAUGGAAUUACAUAAGCUUCUCUUUAUGUUUUAUAGUUUAAUCUCAGAAGUCUAUCACAGAUUGUUUAUUCUCUUCCUUAGGAUAUUUUGUAUCUCCAUGUUGCCCCCCUCCUUCACUAGUGAUGAUAUAGUUAUAACAAAUAAAUUAACCAAAACCCCAAAUCUGAGGUUUUAAAAGAGAUUAGUGUUUUCUUUAAUAGUUUCUAUUAAUACCUUUUCUUAAAUUAGCUUUAUAAUAAAACUUUUUGUACUUUUGAGUUCUCUACUAAAACUCUUCAGAGUUUGGUUUUCCCUAUCUAUUAAGUGAAGUGGUUGAAGCUAAUUAUAAGUCUCUUAAAACUAAUUUUGUAAGAACUAACACGGUUUCUAAGUCGCUGUAUUUUUCUUCAGGUAGUAGAUGUUAACUGGCAUUGGUUUUACUUUCUCAUUUUAAAUCAUUACUAUAACACAAUACAGCAUAUUUGAAAUUAAAUAUCUCACAGUUGCCAUGAUUUUUAUAUUUUAAAUUAAUCCUACUAUGUAGGAUCCAGGAUCCUGAUAAUAACACUCCAGCCAACACUUGAUUGAAUUCUGAAGCUCUCUGGAGGCCUAACCAGGCCUGAAUGUGUAUUUCUUUCUCUCUGUGCUCUGCCCUCUGUUUUGCUCCUUUAUUCUACCUCAGUCCUUACUAUCUGGUUUUGUAAAUUAGGAAUAUGAUAUCAUCUUGAACAUCUUCCCUCCUUCAAAAUAUAUUAGUCAUCAAC